rnacentral:rRNA from 1 species
UACGUAGGGAGCAAGCGUUGUCCGGAAUCAUUGGGCGUAAAGCGCGCGUAGGUGGCCAUGUAAGUCCGCUGUGAAAGUCAAAGGCUCAACCUUUGAAAGCCGGUGGAUACUGCAUGGCUAGAGUACGGAAGAGGCGAGUGGAAUUCCUGGUGUAGCGGUGAAAUGCGCAGAUAUCAGGAGGAACACCAGCGGCGAAGGCGGCGCUCUGGGCCGGAACUGACGCUGAGGAGCGAAAGCGUGGGUAGCAAACAGG